ACGAUCAAUUUGUGGGGAAAUAGAAUGCCAUUCUGACCAUGUGUUUACUUGAUUAAAAAUGCUUCUGCAUUUUGGAAUGUUUAUUUUAUUUAAAGGCUUACAUAUUUAAGAAAGGUAUGAAAGGCUGAAAAUCUGUGUAGGAACUCUAAAAAGCUCUGGGAAAAAAAUGCUAAUGAAAUGCAAGAAAAAGUAAAGAGACCAGCAUAUGGGAAGAAAACUAUAAUGAUAAGGAAAAGAACAUUAAGGAGAGAGAAUGGUAACCAGUAAACUGAGAGUAGGAAGGGAGAACAAAUGGGAAAUAUGUGUAUAUAGCUGAGACCCCUGCUGAGAAGUUUGAACCUGUUCUCAUACCUCUCACUUCAUCUAGUCCAAAUACACCAACAAUGUCAUAGUUAUAAAAAAAAUGCUCAAAUAAAUAUUUGUCAAAUGAAUGAACAAUUCAGUAUGACAGACUUCAGACAGAACCUGCUCAGGGCCUUUAAAUCCCUAUUUAAUGGUAUGAGUAUCUGUUGGUCUCCCAAUAAUACAAGUGCUACAUCUGAGAAAAGACUGUUAAUUGUUUUUCUGAAGACACGUAUGAGAAGUCUUCAAUCAAUAUGCUUUGAUAUGCUAUUCAGAUUUAUUAUGCAAGAGUGGUACGUUUUAUGCAUUGAUAGUAGCUCACCUAUUAAUAAUACUCCUCCAUAAAGCAUUCCUGGCUGAUGGAAAACAGGACAGCAAUUUUCUACUUUCCCUUAUGUUCAUACAAGUCUGUCCACACAGGCUUUUCAUUGUACAACAAGCUUCACAAACUAUUUGCAGUCAGAGCAAGAUUAAAUUUGGGGCAUGUGAUAACAAGAAAUUGGUGUGAUGGAAAUAUUCCAGUUGAAAAAAUUUUUUUUUGAAAUUUGUGGUUGAGAAACUGGCUUGUCUUAUAGUUUAUUGCAUCACAGUCAUUUUUGCCUAGUUAUCCUGAUAUACCAUCUAUUACCCCAUUUAAGAUCUAAAUAUUUAUUUGCUUAGCUGAUUCUUGGCCACAGACCCAAUACCUGCAUCCUCUUGGUCAGGAUUCUGUGUGGAUCUAGGUUUGCUUCCUAUUAAGUUAUUCCCAAGUUCCAAACAGCCUCUGCAAACAAAGAAGGUACAGUGCCUAGCCCACCCCAAACACUCCUAUUCUCCACAGCUGGAACAUCCUUGUGUCAUUCGUUCAUUCAAAAACGGAAUUGCGUUGUUGAAUUUUGGUCUGUGCCUUUAGGUGGCUCAGUUUCAUUGGAGAAACCAACAGAUAACCAACUACCCAGGAUGCAGUUCAUGUGAUGAGAAGGCAGAGGCUCAGGGAAUUUCAGAACUUUCUAGAUUGCAGUUGGCAGUGGGACGAGGCUGUGAGGCUUGGCUUCCCUGAUCCCCUUUCUCCCCCGACUCCAAGCUGCGUCCGCGCGGCAGGAAGGACCGGCAAAGGAGUUCUCUCAGCGUGCUUAUGGAUGGCACCGGGGCGCGCGGCGGGCAAGAGGGCCGGGUUUGGGGCAGGGGGACCGUUUGCGCGCGAGCUUCCGAUCCUUCGGGCUCGUCCGUCCUCCGUUCCGCCCGCAAGCCUUCCGGGGACCUGGCUCUGCUGCCUGAGACUCGUCAUUUCCAGAUCCUGUCUGCGAGGGUCCUACUUCGGGGGCCACCGUGUCAGAAGGCGCGCCUCCUUCCCAGCCGUACCGGAAGCCGUAGUUAGAGUGACCCUCGCGGACGGUCUUUCGAUGACGCGCUAACGAGCACAAAGGGAAGGGCUUUCUUUCCAGCGCGACAAGGAGAGCUCAGAGGUGCCCGGCCCAGGGUGCAGCAGGGCCGCAGCCGCCCGCUGGGCACAGGCGCACUCGGGGCGCAGCGGCGACGCUGGCUCAGAUGCGCAUUCUCAGGCUCUACGCGGACCCGACCUCCCAGCGGCUGGCAACCAUGCGCGCCCGUGUCUGUGACCCCAAAACUUGCCCGCUGCAACCGAGGGGUCCCCGGGCCGUGAGCCUAGACGGGACGGGAGGUUGCGGGCGCAUCCGCGGCUGCGGGCAUAGCGGCGGAGUGAGGGGCGGAAGGAGGCCGCCGGCGGCAGGGUGAGCGUACCUCCUUUCCGGGGUCUCCGGAACCGCGAGGCCGCCGCCCGUCACCAGCCGGGUCCCGGGUGAAACACGCCAGCUUCGGCGCAUCUGCUCAUUUAGGAAACGCAUUUUGAGCUCCAUUCAACUAAGAAAUACCAGAGCUUUGGGAACGCAGUCCAUUCUUACAUGCGACCAGCACUUCCUGCUUUGUUAUGUUUAUAUUGUGAAACUAGUAACUGCUCACUGUUAAAUAGUUCGAGAAAGGUGUAGGAAAAAGUAAAAGUCCCCUCUAUCAAUCCCUUAACAUCAGGUCCCUGUAAACCUUGUGGAAUCCACCCCUUGAAAUUAUUUCCUAGGCAAAGGAUACAUAUACCAAUAAUGGAAUUAAACCACGACAUGCUCUUGUAAUCUUCAUUUUUUUCACUUAAUAUGUUAUGGUCUGCUUUCCAUCUUAAUGUAGAUUUGUUAUAUAUACCAUAUUUACUGUAUUUUUAUAGGUUUAUUAGGUAAUGACCAAAAUAUGAGUGUAAGAUGUAUGUAGUGACUUGGUUUUGGUUAAAAAUAUUGGAAGCAUGUGGGUACACCACAAGAAUCUUUCACAAAAACUUUAUGCUUUGUGUAUCAUUAAAUAAUAUCUCACAGA